CAUAAUGAAUUGGACGUCCAAAUUUGGUGUUCCAUCUCUUUUCUAUAAUCUCGAUCACUUUGCUAGCAAAAUUACACUUCUCCCCAAUAACUGAUUUCGCCCUCUCAAUACCUUCAUAAAGGAUACCCAUGGUAGCUUUCUUAUCAGCAUCCACCAUUCUUAACACUGUGACCAAAGGGGCAGUGGCCUCUACAACACUGGAACAUCGAGA
rnacentral:lncRNA from 1 species